GAUGAACGCUGGCGGCGUGCCUAAUACAUGCAAGUCGAGCGAACAGACGAGGAGCUUGCUCCUCUGACGUUAGCGGCGGACGGGUGAGUAACACGUGGAUAACCUACCUAUAAGACUGGGAUAACUUCGGGAAACCGGAGCUAAUACCGGAUAAUAUAUUGAACCGCAUGGUUCAAUAGUGAAAGACGGUUUUGCUGUCACUUAUAGAUGGAUCCGCGCCGCAUUAGCUAGUUGGUAAGGUAACGGCUUACCAAGGCGACGAUGCGUAGCCGACCUGAGAGGGUGAUCGGCCACACUGGAACUAAGACACGGUCCAGACUCCUACGGGAGGCAGCAGUAGGGAAUCUUCCGCAAUGGGCGAAAGCCUGACGGAGCAACGCCGCGUGAGUGAUGAAGGUCUUCGGAUCGUAAAACUCUGUUAUUAGGGAAGAACAAAUGUGUAAGUAACUAUGCACGUCUUGACGGUACCUAAUCAGAAAGCCACGGCUAACUACGU
rnacentral:rRNA from 1 species